UCUCACUUUUUCUCCCACAGAGACCCAAGAUCCCCUUUUCUUCAGCAGAUACAGAUCGAAACCCUAACUUCGAUUUUUAGAAUCUCUUCUCCUCAUUCUUUGUUGAACCCUAAUGAUGUUGUUUGUUUUGUAACAUUGAGGUCCAGUAAAACCCCAACGAUAUUGUAUCUGUAUGUUGAUUCUACUUUUUAAUUUCAGAUUUCUUAGUAUUCCCAGAGAUCAAAACCCAAGAAGUGGUGGUGGUUAUGGUGGUCCUGGAAGUGGUAGUGCAAAGAGAUGCUAUAGAGAAUUGAAGGGUUUGUAAUCAUUUUUCUCAGUGUUUUCUUUAAUAUUUGAGGAAGAGCUUGUUAAUAGAGGUUGGGUUUCCUUUUUUUUUUCCCAUCCGAAAGCAAAUCUUAAACUUUGGAUCGUUCAAGUUGCAUUUGCAGCAUAAUUUUGGGCUUAAUUGAAUAAUCAGCUGAUUUUGUUCCUUCAUAGAAUCAAUGUUUUGGAUUUUCAUUAGAAUGAAUUCCUAGAUUUUUAUAAUUGCGGGUUUGUAUGGAUGUUUAAACCCUUUUUUCCACUUUUUCCUACAGAUCUGAUGUUUGUUUGGGUUUCAUGAUGCUUUGUUAUUUUGGGUUUUUCAUGUUGUAAUAUGCGGUUAGUUUUGCUGUUGUCCCUGACCUCAGUCAUAUCCUUAACUUAUCAUCUUUGUUGGUGCAUGUUCAAGUUGGAGGAUCACAAAUUUAUAAAGUUGAUAGAAAGCUAUGUAAAGUUGGCUUUCGGCAAGUUUUUGUUGGUGGUCGGGUGUCAGGAGGUAGUGAAAGAGCAAAGGUUUGGGGCCGUAGAGGUGGCUUUAAAAUUUGUUCAUAGAAGCAGUAAAGGUUGCGAUUAUAGUCCUCCAUAUGAGUGGCAAGUUUAUAUCACUCUUGGUGGCAGUCAUGGAGUUUCGAGAGUACAAUAUAAAGCAGUUCAAUCUUCCUGUCACCAGGGGAUUAUGUAAACAGCUACUUGCUAAUGCACAAUCUAAAGUGAAGGAUAGCAAUAAGAUGUCUUAUGGUUAUUACUGUAUCACAAUAACAAGUUGUUGUAAUUGAUGAUGGAGCUGCUAAAAGAAGUGUAUCAAAGCCUGUUCAGAAGAAGGAAGUUGUGAAACCCAAGCAAGAGGAAUUUAUUGAAAUUAGUCCAGAUACAAAAGAAGGUUAAGAAGGAAAAUCCCCAGAAAGCACCAAGGAAGAAAGUUCAAACCUUAAUGCAGUUUUAUCUGCUCAUAGCAAGUUUGUGGACAUUGAUGGAGGAGAUGUUGAUAAUCAGUUGGAAGCUGUGGAGUACGUCGUGGAUUUGUACGAGUGUUACAAGCUCGCAGAGGUGGAAAGUGCCAGGAAAGCAGCAAAAGUAGCUGCGAUAGGAAGUGCUGUUGGAGCACUUCAUUUGGAUGGAACUGCCUGGAGAUAUUUAAAGAGUCCUCAUGAAAAAAUGAUGAACUGUUAAGGAUUAUCCAUGCCUUCAAAGAAGCAGAAUCAACGCAUUCGUUUCAUGAGAAGAGACUACUGGAUAUUGAAAACAAGAUUUUCUUUGCAGCUCAAGGCUAAGAGUGAAGUAGAUGCAGAUAUGCAAAGGUUUGCAGGGUUUCGGCUACGCCUACAUUGCCGGAAUUUAUUCCUUUGUGAGAACUGGUAGGUCUCAUCUUGCGAUGGAAUUCGAGAACUAUUCCUGGAUUUUACCUUGCUGCUAGUGAGCUUUUGGAUGAGGACAUAUUUAUAGUCAUUUAGAUUCAGUGUCUUAAUUCAGACUUGAUUAUUUAGUUUCUUUUCUGAUAUUGAAACCAAGUGUAAACCGAUCUCAGUUAUGAGUUCUGCAACCAAUACAAUGAUUUUUAUUUAAUAAGUUUUCUUUUUGGGUAA